UACGUAGGGUGCGAGCGUUGUCCGGAAUUACUGGGCGUAAAGAGCUCGUAGGUGGUUUGUCGCGUUGUUCGUGAAAACUCACGGCUCAACUGUGAGCGUGCGGGCGAUACGGGCAGACUGGAGUACUGCAGGGGAGACUGGAAUUCCUGGUGUAGCGGUGAAAUGCGCAGAUAUCAGGAGGAACACCGGUGGCGAAGGCGGGUCUCUGGGCCGAUACUGACGCUGAGGAGCGAAAGCGUGGGGAGCAAACAGG
rnacentral:rRNA from 1 species